rnacentral:tRNA from 1 species
AGUGGUUUAAGUGUUUGGCUGCUAACCAAAAGGUUGGCAGUUCAAAUCUACCAGCUGCUU